rnacentral:rRNA from 1 species
GAUGAACGCUAGCGACAGGCCUAACACAUGCAAGUCGAGGGGCAGCACGGUGUAGCAAUACACGGGUGGCGACCGGCGCACGGGUGAGUAACGCGUAUGCAACCUGCCUACUACAAGGGGAUAACCCGUUGAAAGACGGACUAAUACCCUAUAACACAGGGAAUCCGCAUGGAUAUAUUUGUUAAAGAUUUAUCGGUAGUAGAUGGGCAUGCGUUCCAUUAGCUUGUUGGUGAGGUAACGGCUCACCAAGGCAACGAUGGAUAGGGGAACUGAGAGGUUGAUCCCCCACACUGGAACUGAGACACGGUCCAGACUCCUACGGGAGGCAGCAGUGAGGAAUAUUGGUCAAUGGACGAGAGUCUGAACCAGCCAAGUCGCGUGAAGGAAGACGGCCCUACGGGUUGUAAACUUCUUUUGUAAGGGAAUAAAUAGUCUUACGCGCUAAGACGUUGCAGGUACCUUACGAAUAAGGAUCGGCUAACUCCGUGCCAGCAGCCGCGGUAAACAUA